UACGGGGGGGGCAAGCGUUGUUCGGAAUUACUGGGCGUAAAGGGCUCGUAGGCGGCCAACUAAGUCGGAUGUGAAAUCCCCAGGCUCAACCUGGGAACUGCAUCCGAUACUGGAUGGCUUGAAUUCGGGAGAGGGAUGCAGAAUUCCAGGUGUAGCGGUGAAAUGCGUAGAUAUCUGGAGGAACACCGGUGGCGAAGGCGACGUCCUGGACCGGCAUUGACGCUGAGGCGCGAAAGCCAGGGGAGCAAACGGG
rnacentral:rRNA from 1 species